CAAAGCCCAUCGAACAAAGGGCCCAAUCCAGCAGAUCGAGUCAACCUCGGCUCGGAAGCCGAUUCUCGGGGUAUCGGCUUAGCCAGGAAACGCUGUUAGUCGAAGCAGAGAGCAAACGAAGCGGGACCAAUCGACUAAGCGGCUCGGAGCGAUCACCUCCUAAUCAGGCCCGGAGGGCCGACAAGGCCCAAUCAGUAAAAGGAGAUUAGGUUAAGGUAAUCGAACAGAGUAUAAAAGGAGAGGAAAGCAAAGGAGAAAGGCAUCGACACUUAGCUACACAAACUUAGCGGCGAGAUUAGGGUUUAUCAUCCGUACAAUCAUCUCUCUGCUAUUUGUACUUUUCCGGUUUAAGCUCUCACGAGCUCCGACUUGCUUUUACUUUCUCCACCUUUGUAACAUCAUCUCGAAAUCUAAUAAACGCCUCUGUUCGACCCAUUUCUAGUAUUGUUUACUUCACCCGAGACCAAACUCACCUUAAACAAUUGGCGCCCACCGUGGGGCCGAACAGACCCAGCGUUUCUAGACCGAUAUGACCACCGGAGGUACGAACCCUGAUACCUCAGGAGAGGAGCCGGCACUCACGCCUCCUCCGCCUCCUCCCCUCCUCUCGUCGGAAUUCAUGAGUUCAGUCAUAGCCCGACUUGCUCAUCAAGAAGAAGUUCAGAAGACGACGAAUGAUCAGCUCGCCGCCAUUGUCGCUGCUCUUAGCGCCUCCACCGGCAACUCACAACCGCUCCGUCGUUACCUCUUCAAUACAAACCCUCCUACUCCGGCAGAAGGACGAACGACGAACCCAGUCGAUCCCACUCUUCAACUCGCGGAAACCCUAGCCGCCGAUGCUUCUCCUGCAGCGUCAGAUCCAUCAACUGUCCGAGAAAUCGCUGAGCUUAAACUAAAUUUCCAACAAAUGAGUUCGAGGAUCCACCAAGCAACGAGCGCAGUACCCGAGAUUGACAGUGUCAUCGCAUCAACAUCGCGUACUCCUUUCACCGAGGAACUGACGGAGGUCAAACUCCGAAAGAUGGACAAGUUGCGUCUUCCGGAAUACAAACCAGGAGGAGAUCCCGUCGAGCACUUGACGGCUUUUAAUAUUGCGGUAGCGAGGGCCAGACUCGCCCCCGAUGAAAGAGACGCGGGAUACUGCCAACUUUUCAUUGAAACACUCAACGAGCAAGCCUUAACCUGGUUCUCGGGACUCGAAGAGAAUUCAAUUAGAAGCUUCAAAGAGCUCUCCUCGGCUUUUCUCAAGACUUAUAUCAUGUUCACCAAGCGUGAAGCAACGGCGUCGACUCUCUGGAACCUCAAGCAAACGAAGGAUCAGAAUCUUCGCGAUUACAUGGAACGUUUUAAGUCGGUCGUGUCAAGAAUCAAUAUCCCAGACCACAUCGCCGUCGAUGCCUUGAGGAACAAUCUCCUUGUGGAAUGUAAGUUCCGAGAAGAUCUCUAUCGAUGCACCGCCACGACGUUGCAAGAUGCCGUUGCUCGUUCUCACAACUUCAUUCGUAUGGAAGAAGACACUAAAGCCAUCUUGAGCAAGCACAACUCGGCGAAGCAAUCGGCGCCUAAAAAUGCCGCCACAGCUCACGUCGAACCUCGUCAGCAUGCUCCAAGCGACAAAAAUAACCGUAAGAACGGUCUCCUUUACGUCGUCGACGAAAACGGGAAGAAGUGGAACACCUUUCAUCGGGAAACCGAUCCUCCAAGCGAAUCCCCCCGAGCAACAGCGCCAGCCACGGUCGCCCAGGUCGAUUCGGCAGCGGGAUCUUCCCGGACCCCACCAGGGCUUACUAAAUCGUGCAAACUCCACGGUGUAAAAGGUCACGACACUUCGGAGUGCAAAACACUUUUUGCGCAAUUCCUCUCCUCACUCGAAAGCGGUGAAAUUAAGAUUCCUCCUCCGAAGCCAAAAAGCGAGAACAGUUGGAGCAGAAACAAGGACAGGAAAAAUCAGCGAAAAAAUCAAGCAAAACCGCGUCAAGACGACCAAAAACCAAAGGUCGCCGAGCAAAUCCCACAUCAAGACGAUGAUGGUGACGCCUCAGCUGACGAAGAUCCGCCGGCAGCCAGACAAAGGAUUGAAGUCAUUCGAGCCCAACCGGAGUCCUCAUCAGACGAAGAGAGCGAUCUCGAGGAAGCCCUCGACCCGUUGGACUUACGUGUACUCCUCAAACGAAAGACCACGCCAACGAAUGACAAGACUCCCGGAUCAUCCGAUCUCCGAGUCGAGCUCAAUGCUAAAAGAACUAAGCAUUCGCUGAGCCCAGGAUCCUCAUUGGUAACUACGGAAGGCAAUCCUAUCGUCGAUCUACGAGAUCAGCUUAACGCGCGAGUCGGUGAUUUGCGUGCAAAACUGGACCACAAAAAGGCCGGGUCGCCGAAAGAAAGCGAAGACCUCCGAGCUCUUCUCACCAGGAAGCAAUCAAGUGUCAGGCCGCGGAUCAACGUGAUUAUGGGAGGAUCUCCACCUUGCGGGGACUCCGUACGAGCAGUCAAAGAUCACCGACGAAUGGUGGACACCUCGCAGCGCUGGCCGCAGAAGUUCCCAACUGAUCUCCCAAUCUCCUUCUCAACUGAAGACCUUGUCGGAGUAACUUUCCCUCACAACGAUCCUCUCCUCGUCGUUUUAGCCAUCGAUAAGUACGACGUCACCAAAGUGCUGAUCGAUACUGGCAGCUCGGUCGAUAUCAUUUUUCGCGAAACUCUCGUAAAAAUGGGAAUCGACUUAAAAGACGUGAAACCGUCAUCCAGGACUCUCACCGGCUUUAACGGUUCUUCCGAAGUAAUCAUGGGAACUAUCCGUCUCUCGGUACAAGCAGAGGGAGUAGCACGGAUGGUCAAGUUCUCGGUAGUCAGCACCAAGGCUCCCUACCACGUGAUACUAGGCACUCCAUGGUUGUACUCCAUGCGUGCAAUCGCAUCCACGUACCAUCAGUGCGUCAAAUUCCCGGGAAUGGAUGGCACGACUAAGACAGUGAGAGGAGAUCAACGGGCCGCGCGAGAUCUCUUAAUCGCCACGGUCAAACUGCAGCGAUCUCAGUCACUAGUCAACUCGAUCUCACCUCCUAUCAGCAAGAUCUGCCCACAAAAGGAAGAGGUGCUCGAAGUCCCAGUCGACGAAUCGGAUCCAAGUAAAGUGCUACGAGUAGGCGCUUAUCUGUCGGACGAGAUGCAACGUGAUAUCACGGAUUUCCUGAAGCAAAACUUGUCUACCUUUGCCUGGUCGAUGACUGACAUGCAGGGAAUCGACCAGUCCAUCACGACUCACGAGCUAAACGUAGACCCAAAUAUUAAGCCCAUCCGACAGAAGAGACGAAAGUUGGGUCCCGAAAGAUCCAAAGCAGUUGUCGAGGAAGUCGAGCGCUUACUAAGCGCGGGCUCAAUAGCAGAAGUUCGUUACCCGGAAUGGCUCGCUAACCCGGUGGUUGUCAAGAAGAAAAACGGCAAGUGGCGCAUGUGCGUCGAUUUUACUGACCUCAACAAAGCCUGCCCAAAAGACAGCUACCCACUUCCGAACAUCGACAGAUUGGUCGAGUCAACUGCUGGCAAUGAAAUGCUCACGUUUAUGGACGCUUUCUCGGGAUACAACCAGAUCAUGAUGCAUCCCGACGAUCGAGAGAAGACGUCGUUCAUAACGGAUCGAGGAACUUACUGCUACAAAGUAAUGCCCUUCGGGCUGAAGAAUGCCGGUGCGACGUACCAGCGACUUGUCAACCGCAUGUUCGCUAAACAGCUCGGUACAACGAUGGAAGUCUACAUCGAUGACAUGCUCGUCAAAUCAGUCCGAGCAAACGACCACCUGGCACACUUAAGGGAGUGUUUCGACAUCCUAAACGCGUACAAGAUGAAGCUAAACCCGGCCAAAUGCACUUUCGGGGUAUCGUCCGGAGAAUUCCUUGGCUACAUAGUGACGCAGCGGGGAAUCGAAGCAAACCCGAAGCAAAUAUCAGCUGUCCUUGAUCUCCCCAGUCCGAGAAACUGCCGAGAAGUCCAACGACUAACAGGCCGAAUCGCAGCGCUUAAUCGUUUCAUCUCCCGAUCCACCGAUAAAUGCCUCCCAUUCUACGAUCUCCUCCGAGGAAACAAGAAAUUCAUUUGGGACGAUAAAUGUGAGGAGGCUUUUAGUCAGCUCAAACAUUACCUGACGACGCCCCCUAUCCUGGCAAAGCCGGACAUAGGCGACGUUUUAUCUCUCUACAUUGCGGUCUCAUCCGCCGCAGUCAGCAGCGUGCUAAUCAAGGAGGACCGAGGAGAACAACGACCUGUUUUCUACAUGAGCAGGAGGAUGACCGGACCAGAAACCCGGUACCCGACACUUGAAAAGAUGGCCCUGGCCGUCGUCGAAUCAGCGAGGAAACUCCGCCCAUAUUUUCAGUCACAUUCGGUAGAAGUUCUCACCGACCAGCCGCUCAGAACUGUCCUGCAAAACACGAACAGAGCUGGCCGUCUUACCAAAUGGGCGAUCGAACUCGGAGAGCUCGACAUCACCUUAAAGUGUAGAACCGCCGCUAAGGCUCAAGUCCUCGCCGAUUUCCUCGUGGAGUUAUCUCCGGAACUCGCUCAAGAUUUGGAAACCUCGGAUUCAACAUGGAUCCUGCAUGUCGACGGUUCCUCGACAAACAAAGGCUCUGGAGCAGGAGUUCAGCUUCAAUCCCCAUCGGGAGAACUCAUUCGACAGUCGUUCAGUUUCGGUUUCCCAGCAUCAAACAACGAAGCAGAGUAUGAGUCACUCAUCGCCGGCCUUCGCCUCGCCAAAGCAGUCAAGGCUAAGCGACUCAGUGCAUACUGCGACUCACAGCUCGUCGCCAGUCAGUUCAGCGGUGAUUACGAUGCGCGCAACGAUAGAAUGGAUGCUUACCUCCGAGUCGUACAAGCAUUGGCUAAAGAGUUCGAAUUCUUCGAGCUCACAAAGGUUCCUCGUGGAGAAAAUGUCUGUGCGGAUGCGUUAGCAGCACUCGGAAGCAAGCUACGCGAUCAAGUCAAAAGGACUAUUCCAAUCCACCGAAUCGAGAAACCAAGCAUCGACAUCUCAACGGAAUCAGCUAACUUCGUCACCACAGAACCGAAACAACGCCCUUAUCUGAGACCAACGACGACUCCGAGAUGACAGACCAAGAUCAGCUACUACCCGACUGGAGGACUGAAUUCAUCCAAUAUCUCACCGCGGGCACACUUCCAACGGAUAAAUGGGCCGCAAGACGAUUAAAGAGGCGCAGCGCGCACUACGUCGUCAUGGAAGAAGAACUCCACCGAGUAACGGCUAACAAGGUCCUCCUGAAAUGCAUUUUCGCCGAGCAAACACAUUUAGUAAUGGCAGAAACUCACGAAGGAGCGGGUGGAAACCACUCUGGAGGUCGAUCACUAGCCUUGAAAAUUCGGAACUUGGGAUUUUUCUGGCCAACUAUGAAUACCGACUGCGAAGCAUAUGCCCGGCGAUGCGACAAAUGCCAACGACACGCUCCGAGUAUCCACAGUCCAACCGAGCUACUGCGAACUUCCGCAGCACCUUACCCAUUCAUGCGAUGGGGGAUGGAUAUCAUCGGACCAAUGCCGAAUUCUCGCCAACGUCGCUUCGUGCUGGUAUUGACCGACUAUUUCACCAAAUGGAUUGAAGCAGAAGCCUUCGCGCAGGUUACAGAGAAGGAGGUUCGCGGCUUUGUUUGGAAGAACAUUAUCUGUCGCCACGGCCUACCAUACGAGAUCGUGACGGACAACGGAUCACAGUUUAUGGCCGGAAACUUUAAAGAUUUCUGCAACAAGUGGAACAUCCGACUAAGCCCUUCAACGCCGAGGUAUCCUCAAGGAAACGGACAAGCAGAAUCCUCGAAUAAGAUCAUCAUCGACGGAAUCAAGAAGCGCCUCGAUCUCAAAAAGGGACAUUGGGCCGAUGAACUCGACGGCGUGCUCUGGUCGCAUCGGACAACCCCCCGAGGAGCAACAAAAUCUACUCCCUUCUCACUCGCUUACGGGAUGGAGGCGAUGGCUCCGGCCGAGGUCAAUGUAACGAGUCUCCGCCGGUCUAAGAUGCCUCAGCACGUUGAGCUUAACCAAGAGAUGCUGCUAGAUGCCCUCGAUGGGCUAGAAGAGAAGCGCGACCAAGCCUUACUUCGGAUCCAGAAUUACCAAAACCAAAUCGAGAGCUAUUACAACAAGAAGGUCCGCUCGCGUCCUCUCGAGCUCGGUGAUCUGGUCAUGAGAAAAGUCUUCGAGAACACCAAAGAGCCCAACGCUGGAAAACUCGGUGCGAAUUGGGAAGGACCAUAUAAAAUCACUCGAGUCGUCAAACCAGGAGUAUACCGACUCGAGACUUCCCGCGGAGAGGCAGUCCCACGAGCUUUGAACUCCAUGCAUCUUCGCCGUUUUUACUCAUAAAAUGAGUAACUUUUCAGAGCGAGUAAAAUGAUCUACAUCACCUUUUUGCUCGCGCCAAAAAAAAAAAAAAAAAAAAAAAAAACCGAGCAGAUGCACCCUACGGUCACUUCUACUCGCCCAAGUAAAUGACUACCAAGUCACUUUUACUCGGACUAAAACGAACUACGAAAGGCUUGAUCCUCCUCGGAGGUACGUAGGCAUCCCCUCUACGGGGUCCAGCCCCAACAACCCAAACAAAAAAAAAAGUUUUACUCAUCUCGUUCCUCUCACGAGCAAACGAUGCCAGCCCCUUAACUCGAAAAGCGGCGCACGAGCACUCGCCCAAAUUAAUCGAACGUAUCCUGAUCAGAUAUCGAACGAAGGGAAAAACAGAGUCACCGAUGAUGUAAAUCAUUGACCAAAUUCACGAAGUGGAAUUUCGGAUCUUAUCGCAAAUCGAAAAAUAAUGAGUUGGCCGACCAAAUUUUCUCGAUUACGGCGUAGCAUUCAGAUACCUUUCCCUCGGAAACUUAUCAAAAAGAAAAUUCUUGUCUUAACUCUUUCCCGACUUAUCACAAGAAAGAAUAGUGGGAUUGAGUUAACGAGCAACGAAUAAUUUCAUAAUCGACUAAGACGUUAGCGGUUAUCCGUAACAUACUUAAAAGAAAAAACACUUGGUAAUCAUUCAAAGUUUAAAAAAAAAAGGGCAAAGGAAACCUUCCGAGUACUUAAACAACAACAGAGACAAGUUCAAAGGCUUCAAGGAGCCGAAAUAGAAAAAUUUUACAACAGAUGACGACAGGCAUCAAUCAACCACGGGAGGAUCCUCGUUGCCGCGGCCAUCUCCUUCUCCGGGACCCGAGACACGACCAAAUUUGGUUGGGGCUGGCGCAGUCGCGUCUGCAGUAGGCAUCCCCGCAAGAGCAUCAUCACCUUUCUCCGGGUCCUCUGACGACGAAGCAGAUGAGCUGGCAUUCUUCGAUGCCUUAGCAGGGGAAUCCGUUAGCACGAUAGUCGGCACGGCUCCGUCCUUCAAAACAACCGCUCCUGCUGAUGCCUGCUUCGCAGGGUCAAUGUCUUGGUCGGUGGGCUGGUUGGAGGAUACAGCAGUUUGAGCGGGCUUCUCCACCGGAUCUUCAGGACGAAGAGGAGUACGCAGAGCAAUAGCGGCCUCCGAAUCGAUCAAUUAAUAUUUGACCCAAACGGGUCAAGCUGACGCCAAAUUUCCUCGAUCAAAAAUCGAGACUCCAACACUAGCGGAGAAAGGCAAAGAUCUUCCGCCGGAAUCUCCUUUACCUCCAAACGCUCUGCUUCUUCCUCGUAGUGCUUCUCUUGCCCGAUGAAGAAGUCGAUGGUUUCCUGCGGGAUCUCAACACCAGAGGCCUUGAUCUGCUCGAGACAUUUCCUCGUCCCGAAGGCUUGACUAUAGAGACACCGAGCAUCGUCGUAUUUGUCCCUUUGUCCUCACGAAGGGAAAUCCUGUGAAAGCGUUUCUCGGCUUUAGCGAUCAUGGCAAUCAGCACGCGAACCCUCUCGUGCGUGACCUCGUAUUUACGAGAUUUCCGAAGCCUGUCCAUCUCCUCGGAAUGCCUUAGCAAUUCCGCAGCCAUUUUUGCCUCUAGAUCAGCCUUUUCCUUCCGCUGCUUAUCCACCACGAACUCGAGAUUGUUCAUCGCCUCCUUACACAUCUGCAGUUCAGCCGCGUCAGAUGUUCGCGUCUCGUCAAACGCUUUCCUGAGAGAUUUCUCCCGAGCAAUGGCUUCAGCCUUUUCCCGCGAAGACACCCGAAGAGCCUCCUCCGCUUUUCUUCUUGGCUCGCUCUCACGGAUCUGCUCUCUAGCCCGCCUGAGGGCUGUGUCAUACUUCCCGACCAGAACAUUCCAGUCGCCGUGGCUCUGAUCAAAACACAAAAAGACUUAGCCAAAAUAAUUUAAGGUUCGGAAAAGAAGGGAACGAACAACCGCUUACCUUUACAGACGAGCAAGAGGCGUGCUCAUACUCAUCUUUGAAGAUGAGAUCUCCCACCGAAGGGAGUUGAUCGGGACCGCCUUUGACCAACCGUAACAGGCGAGCACAAUCUUCCGGGUAGCAAGCCAGCGGAAGCUCACGGUUAAACUCGAAUCUGAACCCAUCUGCCGGGGUUUCCUUAGGGCGACCGGAUACUCGGGUCUCAGAUCCCUCCGUGACAUGAGCAGGGGACUCAUUCCUCAAGCGGUCCCGCUGUCCUCCCGAAGUCGAUAUUCCCCUCGGAACCUCAGUAGAACGCAGAUCACCGGCCAAGGCUCCACGGGAUACCUCCUCGGUGACUCGACUCUCCCGUCUCCGUCGGCGGAGGGCGAUGGUCUCGUUCUCAUCAUCCUCCGAGGUCCCAACCUCAGGGAUAGCUUCAGGAACUAGAGCCUGAAGUUCCUCUUCGCAGACCGAGGAUGAGCGGGGCGGAGCCGUUCUUUCUUCUUCAUCCUCUUCUUCUUGGGAAUAUCUUCAGAAGGCGGGUCCCCGGCUUUCCUUUUCUUCCCCCCUUUCUUAGAAGAACCAUCCGCACCAGGAUGUUCCGGCUCGGAGGAAUCCUUCGGACCCCCGGCACUUUUCUUGCUCUUCUUCGAGCUUUUACCCUGCGAGGAGCCGCCAGUACGCGCCUGCUCAGUGGCAAUUGGAGUCGCCUCUACGACCUCCAGUCCCGAAGGACCAACCCUGUUCUCAGAAGCGCCUCGCUUGGCACCGAUCUUCCCGGCUACAAUAAGACUAAGGUCUGGUAGUUGCUUCAUCGUUUUAGCUCGGUUGAUCUCCUUCUGCUCGGCUCUCGUAAAGAGGGAUAAUCUCUUCGAUGUCGAUUGGUUAAUAUGAGGAUGCGGUUCCGAGAUCCAGCUUUCUGCAAAAAGAGAAAUCCUUAAUAGACAUCGUUCAUUUACUCGAGAACAUAGAAAGGUAGUGGAAACUUACGGUUGGCAAUCCGGUCUACAGAUCUCUGAAUUCUCUCUCGAGUAAAAUCCUCCCAGUGAUCUUGCUUCUGCAACGCAACAAUUCGAGCACUCUCCCUCCAAUCCUCGGGGUACGUGGCGAGAUUCGGGUGACCAACUAAAAAAAAAAAAAAGAAGAAAAACACACGUUAGACGAGCACACGCUACAAUCAUCACGAAAGGCAGUGUGCAGUACCCAUCUCCGCAUUCCAAAGAACGCGAUAACCAGACUUCGGAGGUUCCUCGAACGCUGACCUGUUCGACUUCACAUAGAAGUACGAACGUUGCCAAUCCGAGGUUUUGGUCGGAUACCCCGUAACCACGUUGUAGUUUGGGCGCAUCCUCGUCGAGACGAGCCCAUCAUCGGAAAUUGAAACCGAGGUCAAUUCUUCAAACGACCUCACACUCAUCGACGUCCCCGCCUCGGCCGCAAUUACCGAUAGAACGACCAUCAACCGAAGAGACCCGUUCAUCAGCUGGCUUAAAGCGACUCCUCUGCGGAACGCAUAAGUCGUGACGAUUCGAGGAAUCGGGAACCACAGCUUCGUGUCAUUCCGGAAAUAUGACUCGUAGAUGCACUGAUACCCCUUCGGGGGCGACCAAGGCCUCUGAUCCCGCUUUGGAAUGAUGAACGAGACCCCGUGUGCAUUGAGAUCUCGGAGAAUAGCCUCCACCGACUCCACGGUGGACUUCGUCCUCUCGACGUUGGACCAAUCUUGUCCAUCGACGACCGAAGGUCGAAUUCUCCAAACCUCCAGUGGGCUCUCCUCGGCGAAGAUGUUCCCAGGGUAGUAGCUGAUCGGAACAAUCGAGGCGUCGACCGCUUCUUGACCGUCGUCGUCACCCCGGAACUGUUCUCUUGCUUCCGAGACCAAAAGACGCUGCGCUAAAUCCAUAUUCUCCGUAUCCAUCAUUGCUCCGUGAUGGAUACUGUCAGGAUUCUCAGCAGAAUCCCGAGAAGAUACCGCCCCCUUUCCUUUUUGUUCUCGCGUCAAACGAUGCGACGACAUCUCGGAUAAUCGCAGAUCUAAAAACAGAGAUAAAGAGAGAGAAGGAGCGUAGAGAGAGAAAGUACCUUUAGCGCUGCGGAGAGAAAAAUGAAAAGAAGUGGAGAGGGGUGCGCUAUUUAUAGGGAGAGAUAAGCGCAGGGAUCAAGGCGUCAUCAUUACGCCUAAUAAGGCCUAAGUGGGCCUAAACCCAAUUAGGCGCGUGAUCGACAGAUGCGUCGAUCCGUCUUCUCGAUCCGUAAGCGUUUAUCUCACGAUCGCAACGCGUGAUAAACAGAUGCGUCGAUCCAUUUCCUCGGUUGAGAAGCGUUGAUAAACGGAUUGACUCCUCAACGAUCAGUCACUUGCUCGGAUUGAACCUUUUGUUCUCCGAACUAAAGAUAUCAAAUUCAUCGAAGAUCGAUUGCUCGACCAUCAAUGAACUGGGGGGGGACUUACUGUUGGGGAUGGAUUUAACCCAUCCACAAAGCCCAUCGAACAAAGGGCCAAUCAGCAGAUCGAGUCAACCUCGGCUCGGAAGCCGAUUCUCGGGGUAUCGGCUUAGCCAGGAAACGCUGUUAGUCGAAGCAGAGAGCAAACGAAGCGGGACCAAUCGACUAAGCGGCUCGGAGCGAUCACCUCCUAAUCAGGCCCGAAGGGCCGACAAGGCCCAAUCAGUAAAAGGAGAUUAGGUUAAGGUAAUCGAACAGAGUAUAAAAGGAGAGGAAAGCAAAGGAGAAAGGCAUCGACACUUAGCUACACAAACAAACUUAGGGCUGAUGAGAUUAGGGUUAUCAUCGUACAAUCAUCUCUCUGCUAUUUGUACUUUUCCGGUUUAAGCUCUCACGAGCUCCGGCUUGCUUUUACUUUCUCCACCUUUGUAACAUCAUCUCGAAAUCUAAUAAACGCCUCUGUUCGACCCAUUUCUAGUAUUGUUUACUUCACCCGAGACCAAACUCACCUUAAANNNNNNNNNNNNNNNNNNNNNNNNNNNNNNNNNNNNNNNNNNNNNNNNNNNNNNNNNNNNNNNNNNNNNNNNNNNNNNNNNNNNNNNNNNNNNNNNNNNNUGUUGGGGAUGGAUUUAACCCAUCCACAAAGCCCAUCGAACAAAGGGCCCAAUCCAGCAGAUCGAGUCAACACCUCGGCUCGGAAGCCGAUUCUCGGGGUAUCGGCUUAGCCAGGAAACGCUGUUAGUCGAAGCAGAGAGCAAACGAAGCGGGACCAAUCGACUAAGCGGCUCGGAGCGAUCACCUCCUAAUCAGGCCCGAAGGGCCGACAAGGCCCAAUCAGUAAAAGGAGAUUAGGUUAAGGUAAUCGAACAGAGUAUAAAAGGAGAGGAAAGCAAAGGAGAAAGGCAUCGACACUUAGCUACACAAACUUAGCGGCGAGAUUAGGGUUUAUCAUCCGUACAAUCAUCUCUGCUAUUUGUACUUUUCCGGUUUAAGCUCUCACGAGCUCCGGCUUGCUUUUACUUUUCCACCUUUGUAACAUCAUCUCGAAAUCUAAUAAACGCCUCUGUUCGACCCAUUUCUAGUAUUGUUUACUUCACCCGAGACCAAAACACCUUAAACAAUUGGCGCCCACCGUGGGGCCGAACAGACCCAGCGUUUCUAGACCGAUAUGACCACCGGAGGUACGAACCCUGAUACCUCAGGAGAGGAGCCGGCACUCACGCCUCCUCCGCCUCCUCCCCUCCUCUCGUCGGAAUUCAUGAGUUCAGUCAUAGCCCGACUUGCUCAUCAAGAAGAAGUUCAGAAGACGACGAAUGAUCAGCUCGCCGCCAUUGUCGCUGCUCUUAGCGCCUCCACCGGCAACUCACAACCGCUCCGUCGUUACCUCUUCAAUACAAACCCUCCUACUCCGGCAGAAGGACGAACGACGAACCCAGUCGAUCCCACUCUUCAACUCGCGGAAACCCUAGCCGCCGAUGCUUCUCCAUACGCGUCAGAUCCAUCAACUGUCCGAGAAAUCGCUGAGCUUAAACUAAAUUUCCAACAAAUGAGUUCGAGGAUCCACCAAGCAACGAGCGCAGUACCCGAGAUUGACAGUGUCAUCGCAUCAACAUCGCGUACUCCUUUCACCGAGGAACUGACGGAGGUCAAACUCCGAAAGAUGGACAAGUUGCGUCUUCCGGAAUACAAACCAGGAGGAGAUCCCGUCGAGCACUUGACGGCUUUUAAUAUUGCGGUAGCGAGGGCCAGACUCGCCCCCGAUGAAAGAGACGCGGGAUACUGCCAACUUUUCAUUGAAACACUCAACGAGCAAGCCUUAACCUGGUUCUCGGGACUCGAAGAGAAUUCAAUUAGAAGCUUCAAAGAGCUCUCCUCGGCUUUUCUCAAGACUUACAUCAUGUUCACCAAGCGUGAAGCAACGGCGUCGACUCUCUGGAACCUCAAGCAAACGAAGGAUCAGAAUCUUCGCGAUUACAUGGAACGUUUUAAGUCGGUCGUGUCAAGAAUCAAUAUCCCAGACCCACAUCGCCGUCGAUGCCUUGAGGAACAAUCUCCUUGUGGAAUGUAAGUUCCGAGAAGAUCUCUAUCGAUGCACCGCCACGACGUUGCAAGAUGCCGUUGCUCGUUCUCACAACUUCAUUCGUAUGGAAGAAGACACUAAAGCCAUCUUGAGCAAGCACAACUCGGCGAAGCAAUCGGCGCCUAAAAAUGCCGCCACAGCUCACGUCGAACCUCGUCAGCAUGCUCCAAGCGACAAAAUAACCGUAAGAACGGUCUCCUUUACGUCGUCGACGAAAACGGGAAGAAGUGGAACACCUUUCAUCGGGAAACCGAUCCUCCAAGCGAAUCCCCCCGAGCAACAGCGCCAGCCACGGUCGCCCAGGUCGAUUCGGCAGCGGGAUCUUCCCGGACCCCACCAGGGCUUACUAAAUCGUGCAAACUCCACGGCGUAAAAGGUCACGACACUUCAGAGUGCAAAACACUUUUUGCGCAAUUCCUCUCCUCACUCGAAAGCGGUGAAAUUAAGAUUCCUCCUCCGAAGCCAAAAAGCGAGAACAGUUGGAGCAGAAACAAGGACAGGAAAAAUCAGCGAAAAAAUCAAGCAAGACCGCGUCAAGACGACAAAAAACCAAAGGUCGCCGAGCAAAUCCCACAUCAAGACGAUGAUGGUGACGCCUCAGCUGACGAAGAUCCGCCGGCAGCCAGACAAAGGAUUGAAGUCAUUCGAGCCCAACCGGAGUCCUCAUCAGACGAAGAGAGCGAUCUCGAGGAAGCCUCGACCCGUUGGACUUACGUGUACUCCUCAAACGAAAGACCACGCCAACGAAUGACAAGACUCCCGGAUCAUCCGAUCUCCGAGUCGAGCUCAAUGCUAAAAGAACUAAGCAUUCGCUGAGCCCAGGAUCCUCAUUGGUAACUACGGAAGGCAAUCCUAUCGUCGAUCUACGAGAUCAGCUUAACGCGCGAGUCGGUGAUUUGCGUGCAAAACUGGACCACAAAAAGGCCGGGUCGCCGAAAGAAAGCGAAGACCUCCGAGCUCUUCUCACCAGGAAGCAAUCAAGUGUCAGGCCGCGGAUCAACGUGAUUAUGGGAGGAUCUCCACCUUGCGGGGACUCCGUACGAGCAGUCAAAGAUCACCGACGAAUGGUGGACACCUCGCAGCGCUGGCCGCAGAAGUUCCCAACUGAUCUCCCAAUCUCCUUCUCAACUGAAGACCUUGUCGGAGUAACUUUCCCUCACAACGAUCCUCUCUCGUCGUUUUAGCCAUCGAUAAGUACGACGUCACCAAAGUGCUGAUCGAUACUGGCAGCUCGGUCGAUAUCAUUUUUCGCGAAACUCUCGUAAAAAUGGGAAUCGACUUAAAAGACGUGAAACCGUCAUCCAGGACUCUCACCGGCUUUAACGGUUCUUCCGAAGUAAUCAUGGGAACUAUCCGUCUCUCGGUACAAGCAGAGGGAGUAGCACGGAUGGUCAAGUUCUCGGUAGUCAGCACCAAGGCUCCCUACCACGUGAUACUAGGCACUCCAUGGUUGUACUCCAUGCGUGCAAUCGCAUCCACGUACCAUCAGUGCGUCAAAUUCCCGGGAAUGGAUGGCACGACUAAGACAGUGAGAGGAGAUCAACGGGCCGCGCGAGAUCUCUUAAUCGCCACGGUCAAACUGCAGCGAUCUCAGUCACUAGUCAACUCGAUCUCACCUCCUAUCAGCAAGAUCUGCCCACAAAAGGAAGAGGUGCUCGAAGUCCCAGUCGACGAAUCGGAUCCAAGUAAAGUGCUACGAGUAGGCGCUUAUCUGUCGGACGAGAUGCAACGUGAUAUCACGGAUUUCCUGAAGCAAAACUUGUCUACCUUUGCCUGGUCGAUGACUGACAUGCAGGGAAUCGACCAGUCCAUCACGACUCACGAGCUAAACGUAGACCCAAAUAUUAAGCCCAUCCGACAGAAGAGACGAAAGUUGGGUCCCGAAAGAUCCAAAGCAGUUGUCGAGGAAGUCGAGCGCUUACUAAGCGCGGGCUCAAUAGCAGAAGUUCGUUACCCGGAAUGGCUCGCUAACCCGGUGGUUGUCAAGAAGAAAAACGGCAAGUGGCGCAUGUGCGUCGAUUUUACUGACCUCAACAAAGCCUGCCCAAAAGACAGCUACCCACUUCCGAACAUCGACAGAUUGGUCGAGUCAACUGCCGGCAAUGAAAUGCUCACGUUUAUGGACGCUUUCUCGGGAUACAACCAGAUCAUGAUGCAUCCCGACGAUCGAGAGAAGACGUCGUUCAUAACGGAUCGAGGAACUUACUGCUACAAAGUAAUGCCCUUCGGGCUGAAGAAUGCCGGUGCGACGUACCAGCGACUUGUCAACCGCAUGUUCGCUAAACAGCUCGGUACAACGAUGGAAGUCUACAUCGAUGACAUGCUCGUCAAAUCAGUCCGAGCAAACGACCACCUGGCACACUUAAGGGAGUGUUUCGACAUCCUAAACGCGUACAAGAUGAAGCUAAACCCGGCCAAAUGCACUUUCGGGGUAUCGUCCGGAGAAUUCCUUGGCUACAUAGUGACGCAGCGGGGAAUCGAAGCAAACCCGAAGCAAAUAUCAGCUGUCCUUGAUCUCCCCAGUCCGAGAAACUGCCGAGAAGUCCAACGACUAACAGGCCGAAUCGCAGCACUUAAUCGUUUCAUCUCCCGAUCCACCGAUAAAUGCCUCCCAUUCUACGAUCUCCUCCGAGGAAACAAGAAAUUCAUUUGGGACGAUAAAUGUGAGGAGGCUUUUAGUCAGCUCAAACAUUACCUGACGAAGCCCCCUAUCCUGGCAAAGCCGGACAUAGGCGACGUUUUAUCUCUCUACAUUGCGGUCUCAUCCGCCGCAGUCAGCAGCGUGCUAAUCAAGGAGGACCGAGGAGAACAACGACCUGUUUUCUACAUGAGCAGGAGGAUGACCGGACCAGAAACCCGGUACCCGACACUUGAAAAGAUGGCCCUGGCCGUCGUCGAAUCAGCGAGGAAACUCCGCCCAUAUUUUCAGUCACAUUCGGUAGAAGUUCUCACCGACCAGCCGCUCAGAACUGUCCUACAAAACACGAACAGAGCUGGCCGUCUUACCAAAUGGGCGAUCGAACUCGGAGAGCUCGACAUCACUUAUAAGUGUAGAACCGCCGCUAAGGCUCAAGUCCUCGCUGAUUUCCUCGUGGAGUUAUCUCCGGAACUCGCUCAAGAUUUGGAAACCUCGGAUUCAACAUGGAUCCUGCAUGUCGACGGUUCCUCGACAAACAAAGGCUCUGGAGCAGGAGUUCAGCUUCAAUCCCCAUCGGGAGAACUCAUUCGACAGUCGUUCAGUUUCGGUUUCCCAGCAUCAAACAACGAAGCAGAGUAUGAGUCACUCAUCGCCGGCCUUCGCCUCGCCAAAGCAGUCAAGGCUAAGCGACUCAGUGCGUACUGCGACUCACAGCUCGUCGCCAGUCAGUUCAGCGGUGAUUACGAUGCGCGCAACGAUAGAAUGGAUGCUUACCUCCGAGUCGUACAAGCAUUGGCUAAAGAGUUCGAAUUCUUCGAGCUCACAAAGGUUCCUCGUGGAGAAAAUGUCUGUGCGGAUGCGUUAGCAGCACUCGGAAGCAAGCUACGCGAUCAAGUCAAAAGGACUAUUCCAAUCCACCGAAUCGAGAAACCAAGCAUCGACAUCUCAACGGAAUCAGCUAACUUCGUCACCACAGAACCCGAAACAACGCCCUUAUCUAAGACCAACGACGACUCCGAGAUGACAGACCAAGAUCAGCUACUACCCGACUGGAGGACUGAAUUCAUCCAAUAUCUCACCGCGGGCACACUUCCAACGGAUAAAUGGGCCGCAAGACGAUUAAAGAGGCGCAGCGCGCACUACGUCGUCAUGGAAGAAGAACUCCACCGAGUAACGGCUAACAAGGUCCUCCUGAAAUGCAUUUUCGCCGAGCAAACACAUUUAGUAAUGGCAGAAACUCACGAAGGAGCGGGUGGAAACCACUCUGGAGGUCGAUCACUAGCCUUGAAAAUUCGGAACUUGGGAUUUUUCUGGCCAACUAUGAAUACCGACUGCGAAGCAUAUGCCCGGCGAUGCGACAAAUGCCAACGACACGCUCCGAGUAUCCACAGUCCAACCGAGCUACUGCGAACUUCCGCAGCACCUUACCCAUUCAUGCGAUGGGGGAUGGAUAUCAUCGGACCAAUGCCGAAUUCUCGCCAACGUCGCUUCGUGCUGGUAUUGACCGACUAUUUCACCAAAUGGAUUGAAGCAGAAGCCUUCGCGCAGGUUACAGAGAAGGAGGUUCGCGGCUUUGUUUGGAAGAACAUUAUCUGUCGCCACGGCCUACCAUACGAGAUCGUGACGGACAACGGAUCACAGUUUAUGGCCGGAAACUUUAAAGAUUUCUGCAACAAGUGGAACAUCCGACUAAGCCCUUCAACGCCGAGGUAUCCUCAAGGAAACGGACAAGCAGAAUCCUCGAAUAAGAUCAUCAUCGACGGAAUCAAGAAGCGCCUCGAUCUCAAAAAGGGACAUUGGGCCGAUGAACUCGACGGCGUGCUCUGGUCGCAUCGGACAACCCCCCGAGGAGCAACAAAAUCUACUCCCUUCUCACUCGCUUACGGGAUGGAGGCGAUGGCUCCGGCCGAGGUCAAUGUAACGAGUCUCCGCCGGUCUAAGAUGCCUCAGCACGUUGAGCUUAACCAAGAGAUGCUGCUAGAUGCCCUCGAUGGGCUAGAAGAGAAGCGCGACCAAGCCUUACUUCGGAUCCAGAAUUACCAAAACCAAAUCGAGAGCUAUUACAACAAGAAGGUCCGCUCGCGUCCUCUCGAGCUCGGUGAUCUGGUCAUGAGAAAAGUCUUCGAGAACACCAAAGAGCCCAACGCUGGAAAACUCGGUGCGAAUUGGGAAGGACCAUAUAAAAUCACUCGAGUCGUCAAACCAGGAGUAUACCGACUCGAGACUUCCCGCGGAGAGGCAGUCCCACGAGCUUGGAACUCCAUGCAUCUUCGCCGUUUUUACUCAUAAAAUGAGUAACUUUUCAGAGCGAGUAAAAUGAUCUACAUCACCUUUUUGCUCGCGCCAAAAAAAAAAAAAAAAAAAAAAAAAAACCGAGCAGAUGCACCCUACGGUCACUUCUACUCGCCCAAGUAAAUGACUACCAAGUCACUUUUACUCGGACUAAAACGAACUACGAAAGGCUUGAUCCUCCUCGGAGGUACGUAGGCAUCCCCUCUACGGGGUCCAGCCCCAACAACCCAAAACAAAAAAAAAAAGUUUUACUCAUCUCGUUCCUCUCACGAGCAAACGAUGCCAGCCCCUUAACUCGAAAAGCGGCGCACGAGCACUCGCCCAAAUUAAUCGAACGUAUCCUGAUCAGAUAUCGAACGAAGGGAAAAACAGAGUCACCGAUGAUGUAAAUCAUUGACCAAAUUCACGAAGUGGAAUUUCGGAUCUUAUCGCAAAUCGAAAAAUAAUGAGUUGGCCGACCAAAUUUUCUCGAUUACGGCGUAGCAUUCAGAUACCUUUCCCUCGGAAACUUAUCAAAAAGAAAAUUCUUGUCUUAACUCUUUCCCGACUUAUCACAAGAAAGAAUAGUGGGAUUGAGUUAACGAGCAACGAAUAAUUUCAUAAUCGACUAAGACGUUAGCGGUUAUCCGUAACAUACUUAAAAGAAAAAACACUUGGUAAUCAUUCAAAGUUUAAAAAAAAAAAGGGGCAAAGGAAACCUUCCGAGUACUUAAACAACAACAGAGACAAGUUCAAAGGCUUCAAGGAGCCGAAAUAGAAAAAUUUUACAACAGAUGACGACAGGCAUCAAUCAACCACGGGAGGAUCCUCGUUGCCGCGGCCAUCUCCUUCUCCGGGACCCGAGACACGACCAAAUUUGGUUGGGGCUGGCGCAGUCGCGUCUGCAGUAGGCAUCCCCGCAAGAGCAUCAUCACCUUUCUCCGGGUCCUCUGACGACGAAGCAGAUGAGCUGGCAUUCUUCGAUGCCUUAGCAGGGGAAUCCGUUAGCACGAUAGUCGGCACGGCUCCGUCCUUCAAAACAACCGCUCCUGCUGAUGCCUGCUUCGCAGGGUCAAUGUCUUGGUCGGUGGGCUGGUUGGAGGAUACAGCAGUUUGAGCGGGCUUCUCCACCGGAUCUUCAGGACGAAGAGGAGUACGCAGAGCAAUAGCGGCCUCCGAAUCGAUCAAAUUAAUAUUUGACCCAAACGGGUCAAGCUGACGCCAAAUUUCCUCGAUCAAAAAUCGAGACUCCAACACUAGCGGAGAAAGGCAAAGAUCUUCCGCCGGAAUCUCCUUUACCUCCAAACGCUCUGCUUCUUCCUCGUAGUGCUUCUCUUGCCCGAUGAAGAAGUCGAUGGUUUCCUGCGGGAUCUCAACACCAGAGGCCUUGAUCUGCUCGAGACAUUUCCUCGUCCCGAAGGCUUGACUAUAGAGACACCGAGCAUCGUCGUAUUUGUCCCUUUUGUCCUCACGAAGGGAAAUCCUGUGAAAGCGUUUCUCGGCUUUAGCGAUCAUGGCAAUCAGCACGCGAACCCUCUCGUGCGUGACCUCGUAUUUACGAGAUUUCCGAAGCCUGUCCAUCUCCUCGGAAUGCCUUAGCAAUUCCGCAGCCAUUUUUGCCUCUAGAUCAGCCUUUUCCUUCCGCUGCUUAUCCACCACGAACUCGAGAUUGUUCAUCGCCUCCUUACACAUCUGCAGUUCAGCCGCGUCAGAUGUUCGCGUCUCGUCAAACGCUUUCCUGAGAGAUUUCUCCCGAGCAAUGGCUUCAGCCUUUUCCCGCGAAGACACCCAAGAGCCUCCUCCGCUUUCUUCUUGGCUUCUUCGCUCUCACGGAUCUGCUCUCUAGCCCGCCUGAGGGCUGUGUCAUACUUCCCGACCAGAACAUUCCAGUCGCCGUGGCUCUGAUCAAAACACAAAAAGACUUAGCCAAAAUAAUUUAAGGUUCGGAAAAGAAGGGAACGAACAACCGCUUACCUUUACAGACGAGCAAGAGGCGUGCUCAUACUCAUCUUUGAAGAUGAGAUCUCCCACCGAAGGGAGUUGAUCGGGACCGCCUUUGACCAACCGUAACAGGCGAGCACAAUCUUCCGGGUAGCAAGCCAGCGGAAGCUCACGGUUAAACUCGAAUCUGAACCCAUCUGCCGGGGUUUCCUUAGGGCGACCGGAUACUCGGGUCUCAGAUCCCUCCGUGACAUGAGCAGGGGACUAAUUCCUCAAGCGGUCCCGCUGUCCUCCCGAAGUCGAUAUUCCCCUCGGAACCUCAGUAGAACGCAGAUCACCGGCCAAGGCUCCACGGGAUACCUCCUCGGUGACUCGACUCUCCCGUCUCCGUCGGCGGAGGGCGAUGGUCUCGUUCUCAUCAUCCUCCGAGGUCCCAACCUCAGGGAUAGCUUCAGGAACUAGAGCCUGAAGUUCCUCUUCGCAGACCGAGGAUGAGCGGGGCGGAGCCGUUUCUUUCUUCUUCAUCCUCUUCUUCUUGGGAAUAUCUUCAGAAGGCGGGUCCCCGGCUUUCCUUUUCUUCCCCCCUUUCUUAGAAGAACCAUCCGCACCAGGAUGUUCCGGCUCGGAGGAAUCCUUCGGACCCCCGGCACUUUUCUUGCUCUUCUUCGAGCUUUUACCCUGCGAGGAGCCGCCAGUACGCGCCUGCUCAGUGGCAAUUGGAGUCGCCUCUACGACCUCCAGUCCCGAAGGACCAACCCUGUUCUCAGAAGCGCCUCGCUUGGCACCGAUCUUCCCGGCUACAAUAAGACUAAGGUCUGGUAGUUGCUUCAUCGUUUUAGCUCGGUUGAUCUCCUUCUGCUCGGCUCUCGUAAAGAGGGAUAAUCUCUUCGAUGUCGAUCGGUUAAUAUGAGGAUGCGGUUCCGAGAUCCAGCUUUCUGCAAAAAGAGAAAUCCUUAAUAGACAUCGUUCAUUUACUCGAGAACAUAGAAAGGUAGUGGAAACUUACGGUUGGCAAUCCGGUCUACAGAUCUCUGAAUUCUCUCUCGAGUAAAAUCCUCCCAGUGAUCUUGCUUCUGCAACGCAACAAUUCGAGCACUCUCCCUCCAAUCCUCGGGGUACGUGGCGAGAUUCGGGUGACCAACUAAAAAAAAAAAAAAGAAGAAAAACACACGUUAGACGAGCACACGCUACAAUCAUCACGAAAGGCAGUGUGCAGUACCCAUCUCCGCAUUCCAAAGAACGCGAUAACCAGACUUCGGAGGUUCCUCGAACGCUGACCUGUUCGACUUCACAUAGAAGUACGAACGUUGCCAAUCCGAGGUUUUGGUCGGAUACCCCGUAACCACGUUGUAGUUUGGGCGCAUCCUCGUCGAGACGAGCCCAUCAUCGGAAAUUGAAACCGAGGUCAAUUCUUCAAACGACCUCACACUCAUCGACGUCCCCGCCUCGGCCGCAAUUACCGAUAGAACGACCAUCAACCGAAGAGACCCGUUCAUCAGCUGGCUUAAAGCGACUCCUCUGCGGAACGCAUAAGUCGUGACGAUUCGAGGAAUCGGGAACCACAGCUUCGUGUCAUUCCGGAAAUAUGACUCGUAGAUGCACUGAUACCCCUUCGGGGGCGACCAAGGCCUCUGAUCCCGCUUUGGAAUGAUGAACGAGACCCCGUGUGCAUUGAGAUCUCGGAGAAUAGCCUCCACCGACUCCACGGUGGACUUCGUCCUCUCGACGUUGGACCAAUCUUGUCCAUCGACGACCGAAGGUCGAAUUCUCCAAACCUCCAGUGGGCUCUCCUCGGCGAAGAUGUUCCCAGGGUAGUAGCUGAUCGGAACAAUCGAGGCGUCGACCGCUUCUUGACCGUCGUCGUCACCCCGGAACUGUUCUCUUGCUUCCGAGACCAAAAGACGCUGCGCUAAAUCCAUAUUCUCCGUAUCCAUCAUUGCUCCGUGAUGGAUACUGUCAGGAUUCUCAGCAGAAUCCCGAGAAGAUACCGCCCCCUUUCCUUUUUGUUCUCGCGUCAAACGAUGCGACGACAUCUCGGAUAAUCGCAGAUCUAAAAACAGAGAUAAAGAGAGAGAAGGAGCGUAGAGAGAGAAAGUACCUUUAGCGCUGCGGAGAAAAAUGAAAAGAAGUGGAGAGGGGUGCGCUAUUUAUAGGGAGAGAUAAGCGCAGGGAUCAAGGCGUCAUCAUUACGCCUAAUAAGGCCUAAGUGGGCCUAAACCCAAUUAGGCGCGUGAUCGACAGAUGCGUCGAUCCGUCUUCUCGAUCCGUAAGCGUUUAUCUCACGAUCGCAACGCGUGAUAAACAGAUGCGUCGAUCCAUUUCCUCGGUUGAGAAGCGUUGAUUAAACGGAUUGACUCCUCAACGAUCAGUCACUUGCUCGGAUUGAACCUUUUGUUCUCCGAACUAAAGAUAUCAAAUUCAUCGAAGAUCGAUUGCUCGACCAUCAAUGAACUGGGGGGGGGACUUACUGUUGGGGAUGGAUUUAACCCAUCCACAAAGCCCAUCGAACAAAGGGCCCAAUCCAGCAGAUCGAGUCAACCUCGGCUCGGAAGCCGAUUCUCGGGGUAUCGGCUUAGCCAGGAAACGCUGUUAGUCGAAGCAGAGAGCAAACGAAGCGGGACCAAUCGACUAAGCGGCUCGGAGCGAUCACCUCCUAAUCAGGCCCGGAGGGCCGACAAGGCCCAAUCAGUAAAAGGAGAUUAGGUUAAGGUAAUCGAACAGAGUAUAAAAGGAGAGGAAAGCAAAGGAGAAAGGCAUCGACACUUAGCUACACAAACUUAGCGGCGAGAUUAGGGUUUAUCAUCCGUACAAUCAUCUCUCUGCUAUUUGUACUUUUCCGGUUUAAACUCUCACGAGCUCCGGCUUGCUUUUACUUUCUCCACCUUUGUAACAUCAUCUCGAAAUCUAAUAAACGCCUCUGUUCGACCCAUUUCUAGUAUUGUUUACUUCACCCGAGACCAAACUCACCUUAAACAACAUCUUUUAUCACGGCCUUAGAGAAAGACGUGGGCAAGAAGAUCCAAGAGAAAGAUCAGGAGAUGAUGACCAAUGGUUAGAAGUGUUGAGAAUAACUCAUAGGAGGGUAUACGCAUCCAUUAGUUAGUGUAUGCUGUAGGAUGUUGAUUUAAAUAGAUCCAUGACUAACGACUUUCCCAGUGUCUGAAACAGUGAUUGUAAAUGUUAGAAACUUAGAAUCAAUAUAAUACUGAUUUAUAUUAUUUUCUUGAGCAUUUUGAAUAAAAAAUAAAAUGUACUAUAUUCUGGAAGAGCAAGAAGUGCUCAUUGAGCAACUUCUGAAGAAAAUGGCUUAAAACAAAAUUAAUAUUUACGUUUUGCGUUUAUAAGAAAAAAAAAGAUCCUAAAAUACACCACAACCGAAAGCAAUUACUUACAAGUAUUAUGAAAAUUCGAAACUUAUAAAAAAAAAAUUGGAGAACACAAAAACUUAACUAAUCAAAACAAUUUCCUGUCAUCAUGUGUUUCGUAUGUCCAAAUUAUUUAAGUUAGAAUAAAUUUAUUUCUAAAAAAUUGAAAAAAAAACCUAUUUAGAACUGGUAUUUGGUUCAGAUUUUUUCAACCAUAAGCUUCACCCCUCUUCCACGUGUAUUUUUAUAUUAUAUAUUUCCACCAAACUUCGGGCUACUGUUAAGUACUCUUCAUGUUCUGUUUAGUAGCCCUUCAAGGGAGGAAGAAGAGAUUUAUAAAUGGUAUCUUUUAGUUUAAAAAAAUCCAUAGUUAGAACAUAAUCCGCGUGUAGGGCAGGAAAAAAACUUAAUAAACAUGAUAAUCACCAAACGUCAACUAAACACAAUCUUUAUAUAUAAAGUAGGGUUUGAAUCCCUCCCAGCUAUGCCACAUGGGAUGCCAGCACAACAAUUCCCUUUCUCAGCGUCUGACACGUGUCGAAUAAAUGAAACGCAGCGACUCAUCACUUAAGUUGCGUUUUGUUUCAUCAUGGGCCUUCGUGUUUUUAUGAGCCCUUCUAUCCACUUCGUAUUGUUUUUUUCUUGAAACCUCCGUUGAAUAAAUAAAUUAUGUGGAUGUGACAUGUGGCACUAUGGUUUUCUUUCUUCGUUCAUAUCGUCGAUGGCCCCCUUAAAUCAUCUCAUUAAAUUAUUUAUUCCUCUUUAAAUCCAAUCCACACCCCACUACGUUACAAUAAAUUCACCCAAGCCUCCUCCUAUUAUUUACUCCUAUAAAUAGGAAUAUCGAUUUUGAUAAUUCUCAUCACUUCAUCCAAAUCAUUUCUAUCUCUUGCUUCCAAACUACUGCGCUUCAACGUACCAGAGAUUUUCCAAUACACGAAUCAAGGUUCGAUUAGGUGGGUUUAGAACCCGAAACCAUGAAUGGACGCGUUGAUGUGGCCAUGUGGGAGUUUGAGAGAAACAGAGACUCUAAUCGCUGAGACAUGAGAUAAGAAGCCACUAUCCGAUGGUGAGCGGCUUGAAACUGAGAUAAAUGGUAGAAAUCUUUUCAUUUGUGAAAGUCACAUCCAGUCUGGUGUAGUUUUGUGUAUUAAUACUGCCAUGGUGAAGCAUCUCAGGAAACAAAAAUAAGAAGGACAAGAAGAAGAUAAUCAAUCGUUUACAGAGACAAAAAAAUAUAAAAGAUGAAGAGGCGUGGAAUCUUAUAUAAUAAAUAGAAAAAUAUCUAUAAUUUUGAUUUUACCCCUAAAAAAAUUGAAUUUUUUAAGAGAAUUCGAAAAGUCAAUGAGAGAGAGCGAGAAAGUCGAAAGACAUGACUAGGAGAAAUAAUAGAAAAAUGUUUUUAUUAAAAUGGUGACGUGAGGAGAAGAGUGAUCACAGAUUCACAACUGUAGACAUUCACAUGCCACAUUGGUAUCCUCUUGCUUUAGUUUGAUCCACAAAAUUACAAUGGUACCAUCUUUAUGUGUCUUUAGUGUUUAGUUUGAUUUCAAUUGCAAUUCAAAUAAAACAAAUGCUUUCAAAAAAGAAACUGUCCGAACAUAUAGUAGGAUGUAUUAGUUGAUAAAAAAAAAGUGAGAUUUAUUAAUAUAGCUAUUUUACAAAAAAAAUAAGAAUUACAUGUAAAAGUAAAUGCAAAAAUUAAAAAUUAUUAUUAACAAAAAUUAGCUAAACAGAGAUCACAUUCAAAUAAAAUAAAUGCUUUCAAGAAAAAAACUGUCAAACAUGUAGUAGGAUGUAUUAGUUGAUAAAAAAAAGUGGAAUGUAUUAAUAUAGCUAUUUUAGAAAAAAAAAGAAUUACAUGUAAAAUUAAAUGCAUAAAUUAAAAAAUAAUAAAUACUUAAUUACAAUUAAUGUAUUAAUAUAGCAAUUUUACAAAAAAAAAUAUAAGAAUUACAUGUAAAAUUAAAUGCAGAAAUUAAAAAAAUAGCUAAACAGAGAUCACAUUCAAAUAAAACAAAUGCUUUCAAGAAAGAAACUGUCCGAACAUAUAGUAGGAUGUAUUAGUUGAUAAAAAGUGGGAUGUAUUAAUAUAGCUAUUUUACAAAAAAAAAAUAAGAAUUAUAUGUAAAAUUAAAUGCAGAAAUUAAAAAAUAUUAUUAACAAAAAUUAGCUAAACAGAGAUCACAUUCAAAUAAAACAAAUGCUUUCAAGAAAGAAACUGUCCGAACAUAUAGUAGGAUGUAUUAGUUGAUAAAAAAGUGGGAUGUGUUAAUAUAGCUAUUUUACAAAAAAAAAAAAGAACUACAUGUAAAGUUAAAUGCAGAAAUUAAAAAUAAUAAAUACUUAAUUACAAUUAAUGUCUUAAAAUAUACUCAUAUUAGAUAAUAAAUGGAAUCUAAAACACAUAAAAUUAACAAAUAUUAACGUUGAACUAAAUAAUUUAACAAAAUGAGAAGCAGCUUUUUUCGAACUGAAAUCAACUGAAAACGUAAUCUACUCAAACCCUAAUGGAAGCUAUUUAUAAAACUGAAAACAUUUAAUUAUAGAGAAUACAGAAACAAAUCGAAUGCAUUUGUAUAAGUAUACGAUAAACACCAUUUUCAUAUACUAAGAAGAUAAAAUAAGGAGUUCAAAAAAAAAAGAUGAAACAAGAAGAAUCUCAAUUUGAGUGAAUGCUUUGACGAAUCUAAUUAAAAAAAAACAUAUGCAUUUUUUUUUUGAAGUGAUAAGAGCUUAGAGAGCCUUCCCUAAAUCACUAUGAAAAUAUUUCUCUAUCCAAAACGGUCAUGUUUUGAGAUGGACGCACAUUCUAAAUAAUAACUCAUUCUAGGUGAAACCAUAAUAAAAUGUAUUCAUAUGACACCCUACAAUGAGAGAGCUGCAACUACUUUUUUAUUGAUCAAAAACAAAAAUA
rnacentral:lncRNA from 1 species